AUGAUUGCUUCGGCAACAUAUAUACUAAAAUUAGAAUGAUACAGAGAAGAUUAGCAUUACCCCUGUGCAAGAAGGAUGACACUCAAAUUUGUGAAGCGUACCAUAUUAAA
ensembl:snRNA U6 U6 spliceosomal RNA